GCGUGAGUGAUGAAGGCCUUAGGGUUGUAAAGCUCUUUCACCGGGGAAGAUAAUGACGGUACCCGGAGAAGAAGCCCCGGCUAACUCCGUGCCAGCAGCCGCGGUAAUACGGAGGGGGCUAGCGUUGUUCGGAAUUACUGGGCGUAAAGCGCGCGUAGGCGGCUUGACAAGUUGGAGGUGAAAGCCCGGAGCUCAACUUCGGAAUUGCCUUCAAGACUGUCUCGCUCGAGGCAGGGAGAGGAGAGCGGAAUACCCAGUGUAGAGGUGAAAUUCGU
rnacentral:rRNA from 1 species